GUUUUAUCCAUGAAUCCAGUAUGUAAUUGGAUCACUGUUUAUACAACCGUCAUGAGUGCCGGCACUCCUGAGAAGUACACAACAGUUGUCAGAGAUAUGUGUGUGUGAUGGAAUGAGCCGUUCUCUUGACCAGCUCAGCCAGAAUUUUCACCCAGCUUAGUUCUGAACUGCCCAA